ensembl:lncRNA
AUGGGGUUUCAAGGAAUUCCCGGAGUGAGAGGAACAGAUGGUCCACCAGGUUCUGCGGGGCCAACGGGGAAGUCGGGGCCUCCAGGAUCACCAGGACCCCCAGGAGAAAGGGUGAGGCUGCAAAUAGUAGUCAUGACCUCCGUGAUAUCCAUCUACAGAGAAGUCUAUUACAUUAGUGUCACAGCAUUGUGUUCCCUAACAUUGUGUGUUAUGUUUUUAUGUGUUUUGAAUGUGUUUCUUCAGGGUUUCACAGGGAAGCCAGGCUUGGAGGGACCUCAGGGCCCUGUAGGCAUGUAUGGUAUCCCAGGAACUGUGGGAAUGCGCGGGCCUCCAGGUUUGACAGGACAGAGGGGGGAGCCAGGUUUACGAGGAUUACCCGGGCCUGUUGGGAAGCCAGGACCUCCAGGUUUGCAAGGUCCUCCUGGAGAGAAGGGACCCCGGGGACCACAGGUGAGACAAAUCCUCACAAGGUGGUUUAUCUUCUAAAUUCGGUUCUAAGUGUUAAGUUUCUGGUGUCUCUAUGAAAUAUCAGUUUGUGAAACCAUCACAGUAAACGUCAUAAUUCAUAAUAAUAAUAAAGUAAAAAUAAAAAAGGAUACAGGAUAACUAAGGAUUUCUGCAAAUGCAAUUAAACCCUGAUUAAAAAAUCAACCCAGCAGUCAGAAAUAUCCUUCUUUUGUUUUCUCCCAUUUGAUGAUGAUAAUGAUGAUGAUGGUGAUGAUGACACACACACACACACACACACACACACACACACACACACACACACACACAUUAACUUCAAAGGAAGUGGGGACAUGAAUUUGAACGCACAUGCCCAUGCAUGCCCAGACGCCUGUAUUGCAAGUGCUGGUUAUACAGUUACAGGGUGGAAUGAUUGUACAGCAUACAUCUUUAUUGACUUAUAUAAUAACUGGGUGUACAUUUGCAUUUAUUUAGCAUUUUCUUGAAUCCACACAGGGUCAAAAGUGCAUACAGGCUCAAAUAUAUAGAUAAACUCACUUAAAUCUUUCAGUGAGUGGUGCCAAAGGUUCUACUAUGUAUUUUAACUUCUUAAGACAAAGGCCUAUUAACUUUUCAUUAGUGAUUAUGAUAAUGACUACAGCUGGUAGUUUGUCUUUGCCAGCAUAAAAAGGAUUUGCUCAAAUUGGACUGACCAAUACUCAGAGUUAUAGGAAAGUCCAAGGAAGAUUAAGAUCUACACAAGUUGGGAUGCUGUCUUGGAACCAUUUUUAAACAGCUGCAGAUUCCAAGCUCAUCAGUUCAAACAAUUGUACACAGGUACAAGAUAUUUGGAUUUGCCGCCACUUUGCUAAGGUCUGGAAGAAAACCCAAUAUAUCACCCUCAGAUGUAAAGAAAAUUGUUUAUGAUUUUCAAGAAAACUCAGGAAUGACCAAUUGGAAACUGCUGAAACACCAGCAUCACUGUACGCAGCCAGAGUUUUAUUUUACUGAGAGGGUGCUGACCAAGAAACAACCCUCUGCUCUAAAAUCGACUCCUUCAUGCUCAGCUUAAAUUGAGCAGCUGCCGCCAUGGAAAACCCAUUUGCCUUCUGGAGAAAAGUUUCAUGGUCAGAGACACAAAGAUUGAGCUAUUUGGCCACAAUGACAAGAGUGAAGGUGAGGGUUUCAAAGCUAAGCGCUUUGUAUCAACUGUCAAGCAUGGUGAUGAUAGUGCUGAAACUUGGACAGAGUUGGCUGUUCCAACCGAAGAACAAUCCAAAAUUCAUAUCAAAACUCAGUUUGGAAAGCAGGAGAACAUUAAGCUUCUGGAAUAGCUUUCUCAAAGCCCCAACCUCAACCCUAUUGAACAUUUAUGGACAAUGCUAAAAGAGGCAUCCAUGUCAGGAAACCAACCAGUUUAAAUGAACUCUACCAAUUCUGCCAAUAACAGUUGUCAAAUAUCCAGCCAGAGUUAUACCAGAAACUUGUUGAUGGCUAUCAAAAGGUUGAGGUAUAAGUUGCUAAGGGACAUUUUACCAAGUAUUGGAGGUGUGCAUGCUUUUGACCUUGUUGGUGAACACAUUGGUGAACUAUCGCCAGUCACUUUAACCAUCGCCUAUCCCUG